AGUAGAUCGAUGAGUUUAUCAUUAGCUCAACUCUCGGUGCUGUCUGGUGCAUUCAGGCACUUGAAUCUCCUAUCGGUGAAUUCAACGAGGAGGUGACUGGCAGGCGAGGACAAGCCAAAACCGUAAACUCACGAUCCUAUUCCCAUCCAACCGCUAAUCCCAAUCGAUCUUAUACAUCCCUAUCCCAUCAUCAGCUGCCGUUAGUGGUUUGAGUAUCAGAUUAUACGAUGACAUAAACGUCAACCGCUGUCAGUUGACAGAUCGAUCGCGCGCGAUACGGUUCAGGUAGAUACAAGCCGCAAUUGGGAAUCUUCGGAUCUUCUAGAGUGAACUGUGAGAGAGUGAACAUCGAGAAAACGCAUUCCGCGUCUAAAGUCUUUUCUUUAUUGAUUUAGUUUUCCGGAAGUGUUUUAAUAGCAACGGAGGACGGUCGUAAACCGCCCGUUGAUCGCGAAGUUCGUACCAGUUACUAAGAAGUAUUAGUGAGGCGAAAAUAGCGCAUAUUUUCGCAAAAGUGUCGGCCCUCAACCACGUGCUAAAAGCAGUAUCCAUCACGAUGAGUCCUGUACCGACGAGAGCAGUCGAAGGAGACCCGCCCUAACCUCAUAGCUCUACCGACACAUCGAGCUGCGACUAACGGGAGAGGAUCUACGGUCUAAUCCGUGCACUAAGUUUUCUAAAUGCGAGGAUUUCUUAACUUUUUCGUUGUUUUUAUAAAUUGUCGAGAGUUGAUUUUGGCACUUCUUGCGUUAACAAGUGUUAUGAUCAAUCACAUUUUGAAAAGAGUAGUAUAAAUACAGGAGAGAAACGGGCGCCGGAAAACUAUCACCCGGAGAGUGCUUUCGUCCGCACGAAGGUGAGAUCCAGCGGAACGGGU